GGACAUGACGUGUGGCUGUCGUAAAAACCCUAUUUGUAAACAACCAGUCCUUUUAACUCGGGGCUGCGUCAUAAACACGGAGCGCUUGGAAGACCACGAUGUCAUCUUCCUUCUGUCAGGAGGAUCAAAGUGAAGCUACAGGAGUUUCAUUAAAGUCAACAACUUGGACCGAACGGUUUGUUUUGCUUGAUGAAGAGCAGGAAGGGCAGCCUGGAGAGAAAGAGAAGCCGGGUUGAGCCCACUACCAUCAUCCAUGUACCACAAGGAAGAUGAGGGAGAGAAAUGAUCCUACCAUUAAAGAGGUACUUUUAAGUUACAUACCAGAAAAAACAUUUUAUAUAAUUUGCCAAAUAUACAUUUUUAUUAAAUCCCCAAAGUACGCUUGCUGAAAUACAAGUUAAUAUCACACUGAAAGAAUUUUGAUCAAUCAUGCUUCCCUGCUGUGAUUGUUUAACUGGGAAAACAACUUUUUCCACAGGAAGGCAAGUAAAUUUAAGGAAUACAUGUGCAAAGUUUUCCUCUGUUAUGUAUAAUGAUGACCCCCAUCAAACAUAACGUUAGCAAUCUUUACACCUUUUAAUUUAUACUGAUUAUUUCUGUCUACAUGUGUGAAUUUGCCUUCAUUAGUUUCAGAAAAGAGCGAUGAUGUAUCGGUCAGUGGGCGGCAGCACGAGACUCCGCAAACUAGUCUGUAAGCAAAGCAGACGAAGGCAUCGAGGUUGCGGCCUGCCAUCAUUGUUAUUUUGCUUAAGGGACUGAAUAUGUUUCAUGCAGAAAUAUUAGCAUUUCCCUUAUAUCUACCAAAACUGCUUGUUUCACAGACUGCAGUUUUGUUUUGAUCCGAUGUGGUGUGCAAAUACAACCGUAUCUGCAAUGGGUUGUGGGGCAUUAACAUUUGUAACUCUAAUUUUGUUUUGACAGACUGUGAUAAGAACGUUGAGAACAUCACCACUCUACAGGAAGACACAGUCCAGUAAUGGGUGUCAGAAGUUCAGUAGUGAACGACAGAAACAAACAAUCCAAAUUACCUGCAGAAAGCCCUUGAUGGACGCUUCAGCUGCAUCGUCAGACUGGCCAGACAGCAAGAUGCCAACUUUAAUGCCAAUUUAUUUGUGUAACAUUCUGUGACCAAAUGUAUAGAUAACUUUUUGUAGAUUGUAAAAAUAGAUAACCCAUUUAUUACAAAAAAACUACACUAGAAUUACCGCACUGCGUUGUAUGACUCCGCUAACCAGUGCAGUGUCCGUCUACAUAUUUCUACAUAUUUUCUCUCAUAUAAAUGACACUGUAUCUCUUGACAACUGAAACCAUAAGAUGAGGUCAGUGUGGCCUUGACCUUUUUACUUUAAGACAAAUACAAAGUUAGACAAUCCGAAAACAUGCAGUUAUGCCUCCGGCGACUCGCUAUUGCAGAGGCAUUAAAACCGUAGUGUAGUAGAUUGGAUUUUAUUGGUGUUACAUUGGACAUCUUGUAUGGGUACACCAAAAAAUAUAUUUGGUUUCACAUUCUAGAUGGCAAUAAGCAGAGUCAUCAACUCAGGAAAAAUAUUUCUGUAGAAAAGAAAGCCCUGUAUGUGUGUAUGUAUACAUACACACAAACGCACUAUUGAGACGUUUUGUUUUUUAUCAUAUAUUCUCAGGCAGUACUGAUGCAUUUACUGAGAGGGGACGUGAGGGCCUACUCUGCGUGCUCAGAGUUCAAGCCCAGCAGGCUGCAGCGGUCCUGACAUAUUCUGGAACAGCAGCACAGUCUUUGGAUGACUCCUCUGAAGAUGAAAACAUGGCGAGUUCUUCUCAAGAGAAGCAGUACAGGUGUGCCUCAGCUCCAUGGUCCCUCCUGCAGCCUCCGCUCCUGAUGCUAACCUCAUGUCUCCAUCACACCAAGCAGCAGACCUGGAUUGACAGACCUUUCUCCAGAGCUGCCCCCUCCCUCUGAAACCCCCCUCUCCAAAACACUAUUUGUGUAGUUUUUAAAGUAUUUUUUGCAUGAGAAUUGUUGAUCAUAUCAUUUCCAGCAGAUGCCUUAAUAUAAUGUUU